rnacentral:lncRNA from 1 species
AUCCGGUAACCCUGAUCGGACAGGAGCUCCAGCCCGGCCAUGAUGUACAGUCCUGACUCCGCCUCCGACAGCUCGACCUGGACCUUCAGGACUACGACUUCCGUCGGUACGUUUCCUUUUCAGUCUCGGUGAACUAUAGCUUCCGGUAGCCUAGUCGCUUUCCGGUCAAAGGGAACUGCGGCUUGUGGCAUCCCCGGCUUUCUGAAUGUUCGACUUAAGCCUUUCAGUUCCGGGAAACGGAAGGCCCGAGGCGAACGGGUUUUUGUGCUUCUCCCGGGUUGUUGGAGUAGGUACGCCAAGAAGACUGGCUUCCGGACGUCUUUGGUUUGUUGGAGAUGCUGGCCCGAGCAGAGACAUUUUUUGGUCUUAUUUUUUUUAAUUGUAUAUCUAUUUUUAUUGUAUGAGUGUUUACUUGCUUGUAUGUCUAUUCGUCACAUGUGUGCUUAGUGCUGUGGAAGUUAGAAGAGGGCGUCAGAUCCCAUGGAUCAGGAACUACAGGCAGCUGUGAGCCACUGUGUGAGUGCUGCGGAAUCAAACCUGGUCCUCUGCCCGCGUGGUUUUUACCGUGGUCAGUUUAGCUAAGCACAGUUGUUUGUUACACAUGAUUAUUAUCUCUGUGGCUUAGUUUGUUUGUUUGUUUUUUUUUCCUUUUUUCAUUUCCUUGGUUAAAUCCAUAAGUUUCCCUCCCUUACCUUGCCCAAUAAGUUUCUCUAUCACUUGAAUACAAACACAAAGGGCCUGCAGUUGUAUAUAUGCAUCUGUAUAGUAGGGCUUGAAAUUCUGAUUUUUUUUUCUGAUUAUUUUUAAAGUGUGUUUUUAGAUGUUUAUUUAUUGUUAUAUCUAAGUACACUGUAGCUGUCUUCAGAAACCAGAAGAGGGCGUCAGAUCUCAUUACGGGUGGUUGUGAGCCACCAUGUGGUUUCUGGGAUUUGAACUCAGGACCUUUCUUUGGAAGAGCAGUCAGUGCUCUUAUCCACUGAGCCAUCUCACCAGCCCGGAAUUCUGAUUUAUUUUUAAGGAUUGGGUCAUUUAGUAUACACUUUUUUGGAGUGUUUUCACUCGGAAUAUGAAAUCAACAGUCCUCAGGUUUUGUUGUUGUUGUUAUAGAUAAAAGAUAGAUUCACAGAAAGAACACUGAGCUGAAAUUACUCUUCAGGUGGGCCUUAUUAGGAGAGUUAGGGCACCGCUGUCACAGACAGCAACGAUGCACCCUUGUGGGCAAGAAUAUUCAAAGGAGUAUGCUCUGGAGAGAUGAGUGUGACAUAGAACAACACAGGUGUCCUGGAGGGAAGGCGCAUUCAGUUCUGAAGAGUUAGGAGAGUUAGAACAUCACACCAGCCAGCUGGAGCGGCUCAAGCCUUUAAUCCUAGCACUCAGAAGGUGGGAGCAGGCAGAUCUCUGAGUUCCAGGCCAGCCUGCUCUACAGAGAGUUCCUGGACUACACAGAGAAAUACAGUCUCACACAAAAAACAAAACCAAACAAAAAAACAAAAACAAAACAAAACAAAUAAAAACCC